rnacentral:rRNA from 1 species
AUUGAACGCUGGCGGCAGGCCUAACACAUGCAAGUCGAGCGGUAACACAGGGAGCUUGCUCCUGGGUGACGAGCGGCGGACGGGUGAGUAAUGUCUGGGAAACUGCCUGAUGGAGGGGGAUAACUACUGGAAACGGUAGCUAAUACCGCAUAAUGUCGCAAGACCAAAGAGGGGGACCUUCGGGCCUCUUGCCAUCAGAUGUGCCCAGAUGGGAUUAGCUAGUAGGUGGGGUAACGGCUCACCUAGGCGACGAUCCCUAGCUGGUCUGAGAGGAUGACCAGCCACACUGGAACUGAGACACGGUCUAGACUCCUACGGGAGGCAGCAGUGGGGAAUAUUGCACAAUGGGCGCAAGCCUGAUGCAGCCAUGCCGCGUGUAUGAAGAAGGCCUUCGGGUUGUAAAGUACUUUCAGCGGGGAGGAAGGUGUUGAGGUUAAUAACCUCAGCAAUUGACGUUACCCGCAGAAGAAGCACCGGCUAACUACGUGCCAGCCGCCGCGGUAA